rnacentral:rRNA from 1 species
UACGUAGGGUCCGAGCGUUGUCCGGAAUUAUUGGGCGUAAAGGGCUCGUAGGCGGUCUGUUGCGUCGGGAGUGAAAACUUACAGCUUAACUGUGAGCGUGCUUCCGAUACGGGCAGACUUGAGGUAUUCAGGGGAGAACGGAAUUCCUGGUGUAGCGGUGAAAUGCGCAGAUAUCAGGAGGAACACCAAUAGCGAAGGCAGCUCGCUGGGACGAAACUGACGCUAAGGCGCAAAAGCGUGGGGAGCAAACAGG